rnacentral:tRNA from 1 species
GGACUGUUAGCUCAACAGGUUAGAGCGGCAAACUCAUAAUUUGCGGGUACAGGGUUCGACUCCCUGACAGUCCA